rnacentral:lncRNA from 1 species
CUGGAUACUGGCCUCUACACUCUCUUGCACCAAGGUACAGAUAAUACAGAUGCAAGAGGGAAAGGGUGAUGGGCACAGAGGCACAAACACACUUACAUGUGUGACAGCACACACACAAAAGCUCACACACAAAUACACAAAAGUGAUCUUAUACACACACACACCCAGGAACACACGCAUACAAACUCUUACACAAAACCAGAAUUGCACUACAUACAAUCACAAAGGAACAGGUACACACACACUUACACACAAGCAAACUUGUUAGCACACACUACACAUACACACUCGAAAAGGCACACACACACAAACAAACUGGGAAACUCACACACUCCUACAUACACUGACACACUCACAGCAACUAGUAUACACACACUCACACACACAAGCAAAUCUGUAAGCAACCACACUCCCACCCACGCUCAUACAUACACAUCUACACAGCACACUUACAAACCUAUACAACCACACACAGCUCACUAGAUACAAUAAAGUCACAGAGGGCACCACUCCACACCUCCUCUCAAUGCACUCAAAGAAAUUCAGGCCUGGCAACAGAUGUUAAGCUGUGGCCAGGCCUGAAUUUCUUUGAGUGCAUUGAGAAGAGGUGUGGAGUGGUACCCUCUGCAACUUUAUUGUAUCUAGUGAGCUGUGUGUGGUUGUAUAGGUUUGUAAGUGUGCUGUGUAGAUGUGUAUGUAUGAGCGUGGGUGGGAGUGUGGUUGUUUGCAGAUUUGCUUGUGUGGGUGAUUGUGUACACUAGUUGCUGUGAGUGUGUCAGUGUAUGUAGGAGUGUGUGAGUUUCCCGGUUUGUUUGUGUGUGUGUGCCUUUUCCUGUGUGUAUGUGUAGUGUGUGCUAACAAGUUUGCUUGUGUGUAAGUGUGUGUGUACCUGUUCCUUUGUGAUUGUAUGUAGUGCAAUUCUGGUUUUGUGUAAGAGUUUGUAUGCGUGUGUUCCUGGGUGUGUGUGUGUGUGUGUAUAAGAUCACUUUUGUGUAUUUGUGUGUGUGCUUUUGUGUGUGUGUUUGUGUGCUGUCACACACAUAAGUGUGUUUGUGCCUCCGUGCCCAUCACCCUUUCCCUCUUGCAUCUGUAUUAUCUGUACCUUGGUGCAAGAGAGUGUAGAGGCUAGUAUCCAGCCUGGCUGCUGUUCCUAAGGUAGGCCAUCAACCUUAUUUUCAGGACAGGCUCACUCACCGGCCUG